rnacentral:snoRNA from 1 species
AACUUUGUCCAAAAGUAAUCCAUCGCUUAGACAGUGCAUUGAAAUGGAUCCUAAGAAAGCGAUGCCUCGGACCGCUAGUGGAGCCAGUUCUUGGCUUCAUGGACCGACUUGUUGUGUAUCGUGGACUGGGAUCGCCCUAUCAUUAUUAGAUGCGAUUGUGUAUGGAAAGAUCAACGUGCAACUUUUAAGAACCUGUCUGGAUAAUGAUGAAAGAGAGGUGUCAGGAGGUGCAUAUAUGU